UUCGCCUGUUUACAAAAACAUGUCCUUUUGAUUUUUAUAUAAGGUCUGACCUGCCCUAUGAAUAUUUAAAUGGCCGCGGUAUACUAACCGUGCAAAGGUAGCAUAGUCAUUUGUCUCUUAAUUGGAGGCUUGAAUGAAGGGUUGGACGAGAUAUAAGCUUUCUUUGUUAUAUUUUAUUGAAUUUGACUUUUGAGUUAAAAGGCUUAAAUUUUUUUAUAGGACGAGAAGACCCUAUAGAAUUUUAUAUGUUUGUAUAAUUAAUUUAUUUAUUUAUUAUUUAAUUUCUUGUUUAAAUAUAUUUUGUUGGGGCGAUGGGAAGAUUUUAAUAACUCUUUUUUGUUUUGAUCAUUGAUUUAUGUUUUAUUCUGAUCCUUUUUUAGAGAUUAUAAGAUUAAAUUACCUUAGGGAUAACAGCGUAAUUCUUUUGGAGAGUUCUUAUCGAUAAAAGAGUUUGCGACCUCGAUGUGGAUUAAAA
rnacentral:rRNA from 1 species